rnacentral:snRNA from 1 species
AUACUUACCUUGCAGGGAGAUACCAUGAUCAUGAAGGUGGUUUGCCUAGGAUGAGGCUUAUCUAUUACACUCCGCAUGUGCUGACCCUUGCCUGUGAUUUCCUCUAAUGUGGAAAACUCGACUGCAUAAUUUGUGGCAUGGUAACA